rnacentral:lncRNA from 1 species
ACUGCCUUUCGAAAUAAACAUUGAUUUAUUCUUCUGUCCCAUUUUGGCUCCUGGUCGGUUCAAAUUACAAAUAAUAUAUUUACUAGCAGAGGUUCUGGAAAUCACAAAACUGUGGACAUAGCUAUGCUCUAUGAACUCCACUACUGCCAUGCCUUGCACGGGUUUUAAAUAAUAGUAUGGCGCUUCUGUUAUGGUAUCGUGCAAGUUCGAGUAAGCAAAGUGAUCGAAUGGAAUUCAAUAAUUAUUUAUUGGUCUCACCUGGGUUUUAACUUUCUCAUUUUGGCUCAUCGGUAUUAUGGCUCAUCUGUAUUGUUGUAUUGUUGUGCAGGAAAAUUGUAUCAACUUUGAUUGGUCUCACAUGGAUCUCAUCUGCCAUUUUGGCUCAUUUGCUGGGAAAUAGGAGGAUCAGCAUUAAGCAUGGAACAAGGUUCAGAUCUUGAAGAGUCACAAUGAGAUUUAGGUGCACAUUUGUUUGACAUCGCACAAUUAAUUUUCCACUACGCUCAAAUUGUGUAGCUUGAUAGAUAUGGGUGCGUGUUUGCCAGCUGCAUGUAUGUUAUUUGUACAAAUGAUCGGCAUGAAAAAGCUUGAUAUAAGCUACAAACUAAAUUCCUGAAACUUUGUUCUAAUAUUCAGGACCGGUCUUCAGAGCAGCUGCCAUUUUCUCGGAAAAGUUCAUGACUAAAAUUUGAUGUUCAGGAGAAUUAAUUUCAUUGUAAAGCUGUCAUUGACUUGUCGUUCAUCUCAAAGUUCAGGAGAAUCUGAAUGCAUGUUCAGGACUAUGAAAUCUGAUGCACAUGUUCAGGGUGGGAAAUCUGGAACCUGAAUCUGAUGUUCAAGCUAGCACUGAUGUAUGCUCACUGGAAUUUUAUUAGCUUAAAACUGCUCGUUGCUCCAUUUGAUGAACUGAAUCUAACAUUGCGUCAAAUGAGCCAAAGAUUUACUCGUUGCUGCAAAUUUUAAUGUAGUUUUAACUUUGUUCAGGACUGAAAUCCAAAUGUGAAACUGAUACAAAGCUAGCACUGAUGCAUGUUCAAGCUAGUCUACACAUGGACAGUGAAAUCUGUAUCUA